rnacentral:rRNA from 1 species
AUUGAACGCUGGCGGCAGGCUUAACACAUGCAAGUCGAGCGGAGACUUCGGUCUUAGCGGCGAACGGGUGAGUAAUACCUAGGAAUCUGCCUAUUAGUGGGGGAUAACGAAUCGAAAGGUUCGCUAAUACCGCAUACGUCCUGAGGGAGAAAGCGGGGGAUCGCAAGACCUCGCGCGAUUGGAGCGGCCGAUAUCGGAUCAGCUAGUUGGUGGGGUAAAGGCUCACCAAGGCGACGAUCCGUAGCGGGUCUGAGAGGACGACCCGCCACACUGGAACUGAGACACGGUCCAGACUCCUACGGGAGGCAGCAGUGGGGAAUUUUGGACAAUGGGGGCAACCCUGAUCCAGCCAUUCCGCGUGAGUGAAGAAGGCCUUCGGGUUGUAAAGCUCUUUCAGCAGGAACGAAACGGUGGUCCCUAAUACGGACUACUAAUGACGGUACCUGAAGAAGAAGCACCGGCUAACUACGUG